rnacentral:lncRNA from 1 species
UUGACUUGCUUCGAUUUCCUAUAAGUAGUAAAAUCGUUCUCAAAAUCCACCAACCCAAUGGACUCUGGGGAGAAAGGUUCAACCUGAUGCAUGCUAUUAGCAUUGGAAGUUGUCCCAAUCAUAGCAAGAUCAAUCAAACUUUUACCUAGCUGACUUAUCUUCAUUUCAAUCAUAGUAUCUUCGAGGAGCAAACUGUUAUUGGACUACAUGUCGCACAUGUUCAAUAGUAGG